rnacentral:rRNA from 1 species
AUGAAGGAUCUAGGAGUAGUUGAUGUUAUCUUAAACAUCAAGCUGUUGAGAGAUGAGAAUGAUGGGAUCACACUGCUUCAGUCUCACUAUGUGGAAAAGAUUAAGGCCACAAGUGGUUAUGUUUUUACACUUGGUGGUGGCGCUGUUUCUUGGAAGUCCUGCAAGCAGACCAUCUUAAUGAGGUCAACUAUGGAAGCAGAACUCACAACAUUAGAAACUGCUACUGUUGAAGCAGUGUGGCUUCGUGAGCUCUUGAUGGACUUUCCUAUGGUUGAAAAACCAAUACCCCCUAUCCCAAUGAACUGUGAUAAUCAAACUGUGAUCGUCAAGAUAAACAGUUCUAAGGACAAUAUGAAGUCCUCAAGGCAUGUGAAGAGGAGACUGAAAUCUGUUAGAAAAUUGAGGAACUCCGGAGUUAUUACGUUGGAUUAUAUCCAAACGUCAAAAAAAUUGGCAGAUCCCUUCACAAAGGGUCUAUCACGUAAUGUGAUAGAUAAUGCAUCGAUGGAGAUGGGUUUGAGACCCACC